UGCGCGGUUGUGUAAUGGUAGCACACGGGACUUUGGAUCCCGGCGUGGAGGUUCGAAUCCUCCCCGCGCAACCA
rnacentral:tRNA from 2 species